rnacentral:rRNA from 1 species
GCGGAAGGAUCAUUACCGAGUGAGGGCCCUCUGGGUCCAACCUCCCACCCGUGUCUAUCGUACCUUGUUGCUUCGGCGGGCCCGCCGUUUCGACGGCCGCCGGGGAGGCCUUGCGCCCCCGGGCCCGCGCCCGCCGAAGACCCCAACAUGAACGCUGUUCUGAAAGUAUGCAGUCUGAGUUGAUUAUCGUAAUCAGUUAAAACUUUCAACAACGGAUCUCUUGGUUCCGGCAUCGAUGAAGAACGCAGCGAAAUGCGAUAAGUAAUGUGAAUUGCAGAAUUCAGUGAAUCAUCGAGUCUUUGAACGCACAUUGCGCCCCCUGGUAUUCCGGGGGGCAUGCCUGUCCGAGCGUCAUUGCUGCCCUCAAGCACGGCUUGUGUGUUGGGCCCCCGUCCCCCUCUCCCGGGGGACGGGCCCGAAAGGCAGCGGCGGCACCGCGUCCGGUCCUCGAGCGUAUGGGGCUUUGUCACCUGCUCUGUAGGCCCGGCCGGCGCCAGCCGACACCCAACUUUAUUUUUCUAAGGUUGACCUCGGAUCAGGUAGGGAUACCCGCUGAACUUAAGCAUAUC